GACGUAGGGCGCAAGCGUUGUCCGGAAUUACUGGGCGUAAAGCGCACGUAGGCGGUUUGUUAAGUCAGGGGUGAAAUCCCAGAGCUCAACUCUGGAACUGCCUUUGAUACUGGCAAGCUCGAGUCCGGAAGAGGUAAGUGGAACUCCUAGUGUAGAGGUGGAAUUCGUAGAUAUUGGGUGGAACACCGGUGGCGAAAGCGGCUCUCUGGUCCGGACCUGACGCUGAGGCGCGAAAGCGUGGGGAGCAAACAGG
rnacentral:rRNA from 1 species